UACGUAGGGGCUAGCGUUGUCCGGAAUCAUUGGGCGUAAAGAGCGUGUAGGCGGUCCGGUAAGUCCGUUGUGAAAGUCAAGGGCUCAACCCUUGAAUGCCGGCGGAUACUGUCGGGCUAGAGUCCGGAAGAGGCGAGUGGAAUUCCCGGUGUAGCGGUGAAAUGCGUAGAUAUCGAGAGGAACACCUGCGGCGAAGGCGGGUAGCUGGGCCGACACUGACGCUGAGGCGCGAAAGCCAGGGGAGCGAACGGG
rnacentral:rRNA from 1 species